AGCGAACGCUGGCGGCAGGCCUAACACAUGCAAGUCGAACGAAGCCUUCGGGCUUAGUGGCGGACGGGUGAGUAACACGUGGGAACGUACCUGUUGGAUCGGAAUAACGCAGAGAAAUUUGCGCUAAUACCGAAUGAGCCCUUCGGGGGAAAGAUUUAUCGCCGAAAGAUCGGCCCGCGUUGGAUUAGGUAGUUGGUGUGGUAAAGGCGCACCAAGCCUACGAUCCAUAGCUGGUGUGAGAGGAUGAUCAGCCACACUGGGACUGGGACACGGCCCAGACUCCUACGGGAGGCAGCAGUGGGGAAUCUUGCGCAAUGGGCGAAAGCCUGACGCAGCCAUGCCGCGUGAAUGAUGAAGGUCUUAGGAUUGUAAAAUUCUUUUACCAGGGACGAUAAUGACGGUACCUGGAGAAAAAGCCCCGGCUAACUUCGUGCCAGCCGCCGCAGUAAUAC
rnacentral:rRNA from 1 species